AGAGUUUGAUCAUGGCUCAGGAUGAACGCUAGCUACAGGCUUAACACAUGCAAGUCGAGGGGAAACGACAUCGAAAGCUUGCUUUUGAUGGGCGUCGACCGGCGCACGGGUGAGUAACGCGUAUCCAACCUGCCCAUCACUUGGGGAUAACCUUGCGAAAGUAAGACUAAUACCCAAUGACGUCUCUAGAAGACAUCUGAAAGAGAUUAAAGAUUUAUCGGUGAUGGAUGGGGAUGCGUCUGAUUAGCUUGUUGGCGGGGUAACGGCCACCAAGGCGACGAUCAGUAGGGGUUCUGAGAGGAAGGUCCCCCACGAUUGGAACUGAGACACGGUCCAACUCCGUACGGGAGCA
rnacentral:rRNA from 1 species